AGGACACUUAACAUUUAAAUUCUAUCAAGAAAUUUAUUUUCUUUGAUGUGGAUGCAGCCAAUUUAAAUUUCAUCACAGGUGCAGAAGAACCAGAAGCAAUAGAAAGAGGAGCAAAUCGAUCAUCAUCUAGUGCCUGUGAGCUGGAUUUGGGUCACCUGGGUGCCUCCCUGCUUCGAGAACCAACAGUGUGGUGGUUUCAAGGACCUCGGCUUCUGGUUUGGGACCACAAAUAUUUCCUAAUCUCUAGAAAUGCUCUCAGUUUACGAUCUGCUUUAGACACGCACUACUAAGUUUAUAUCAAAGGACACUCUGGUUUGAAAUGUGCUCUGGUAUCCAUCAAUGAACAUUUUUCUUCAUGCUCGGUAGCAAUGAUGGUUUAAAACUGUUCUUGCCAUUAAUAAAUCUGGAAUAGGGGCGAGGUGCGGUGGCUCACACCUGUAAUCCCAGCAUUUUGGGAGGCCGAGGCAGGCAGAGUACUUGAGGUCAGGAGUUUCAGACCAGCCUGGUCAACAUGGUGAAACCCUGUCUCUGCUAAAAAUACAAAAAUUAGCUGGGUGUGGUGGCAGGUGCCUGUAAUCCCAGCUACUCAGGAGGCUAAGGCAGGAGAAUUGCUUGAACCUGGGAGGCAGACGUUGCAGUGAGCCGAGAACGCACACCUGCACUCCAGCCUGGGCGGCAGAGCAAGACUCCAUCUCAAAACAUAAAUUUGAAUUCAUCACCUCUACUGAUUCCCAUUAAUAAAUGUUAAUGGAAUGGGCAAGGAAAUGAUCCGACCUUUUGAAGAUCCAUGGACUGCAAGCAAAUAUGACGAGUAGGGUGGCUCUACCCUUGAUAAUUUCAAAAGGCACAAGCAAUAAGGGGGUUCAUCUGCAUGACACUGGCCCCUGUGGACAGGGUUGACUUAUUUGGAGGUUCAAGAUAAUUGACCACUAAGUCUGGUUCUGGAGAAGUUGGGUUUCCACAUGCCUUACAGAGCUUGAGCUCCAAAGAAGAAUUUGCAUGACAGUCUACUUAAGAGAUGGAUUCCACAGACAAAGCAAUUCAAGAGGCACUUGAAGCUCAGCAAAAUAUGGAAAUAAUGGAUGAGUUUUACAUUUUAUUUUAUUUUUAUUUUUUCUCUUUGUUUGCCUAAGUUUUACAUUUUAAAUCACAGAAUUAUACCCUUGCUCAACUACUAAUACAAGUAAGAUAGAUUCAUUUUAAUAAUGGAUAGAAAAAUUAAGUAACUUGAAAAUAGAUAUAUUACAAAACAAUUUGCACACAUUCACUUUUUUGGUCUCUAAAACUUCUUUUUAAAAGUGUUUAAUUUAUUUUCAUAACCUGGCAUUCUGAUAUGUGAAUGCAAUUAAAUAAAAUAGAACUUCUUUGUUUUCUAUUAAA
ensembl:lncRNA novel transcript, antisense to GRAMD3